rnacentral:rRNA from 1 species
ACGGGCUCUUCGGAGCUAGUGGCGGACGGGUGAGUAACGCGUGAGGAUCUGCCUACAGGACCGGGACAACAGCUGGAAACGGCUGCUAAAACCGGAUGUGCCGAGAGGUGAAAUAUUUAUAGCCUGUAGAUGAGCUCGCGUCUGAUUAGCUAGUUGGUGAGGUAAGGGCUCACCAAGGCGACGAUCAGUAGCUGGUCUGAGAGGACGAUCAGCCACACUGGGACUGAGACACGGCCCAGACUCCUACGGGAGGCAGCAGUGGGGAAUUUUCCGCAAUGGGCGAAAGCCUGACGGAGCAAUACCGCGUGAGGGAGGAAGGUCUGUGGAUUGUAAACCUCUUUUGAUAGGGAAGAAGUUCUGACGGUACCUAUCGAAUCAGCAUCGGCUAACUCCGUGCCAGCAGCCGCGGUAAUACGGAGGAUGCAAGCGUUAUCCGGAUUUAUUGGGCGUAAAGCGUCCGUAGGUGGUCAUUCAAGUCUAUUGUCAAAGCCUGGGGCUUAACCCUGGAGAGGCGGUGGAAACUGAAUAACUAGAGUGCGGUAGGGGCAGAGGGAAUUCCCAGUGUAGCGGUGAAAUGCGUAGAUAUUGGGAAGAACACCGGUGGCGAAAGCGCUCUGCUGGGCCUGCACUGACACUGAGGGACGAAAGCUAGGGGAGCGAAAGGGAUUAGAUACCCCUGUAGUCCUAGCUGUAAACGAUGGAUACUA